rnacentral:rRNA from 1 species
CCUACGGGUGGCAGCAGUGAGGAAUAUUGGUCAAUGGGCGGGAGCCUGAACCAGCCAAGUCGCGUGAGGGAAGACGGUCCUACGGAUUGUAAACCUCUUUUGCCGGGGAGCAACGGGGUCCUUGCGAGGGCCCGCUGAGAGUACCCGGAGAAAAAGCAUCGGCUAACUCCGUGCCAGCAGCCGCGGUAAUACGGAGGAUGCGAGCGUUAUCCGGAUUUAUUGGGUUUAAAGGGUGCGGAGGCGGAUUGAUAAGUUAGAGGUGAAAUGUCCGAGCUUAACUCAGGAACUGCCUCUAAUACUGUUGAUCUAGAGAGUAGAUGCGGUAGGCGGAAUGUAUGGUGUAGCGGUGAAAUGCUUAGAGAUCAUACAGAACACCGAGUGCGAAGGCAGCGUACCAAUCUAUAUCUGACGUUGAGGCACGAAAGCGUGGGGAGCAAACAGGAUUAGAUACCCUUGUAGUC